GGAAGAAAUAAAUAUAUUAUACCUCAAAAUAUACAAAAUGAAAUAAUUUCAGUUUGCAGUGAUAUAAUUGUCAAAAAAAAUUGUUAAAGAAAGUAAUGACUGGCAGUCUGGCUGCUUUAUCGUUUUAACUGAUAACUGUAAUAAUUUAUAUGGCCAAGGGUAUGAUGAUGCGAGUAAUAUGCUAGACCAUAUUAUACAAGGUAUACAAGCGCAUAUUCUUGCAAAGUAUUCAAUAUUCAAAAGCUUGUUGAGUUACUUGGAUUUGUUAUGGAAGCAUUAGACAUUAUAUUUUCGCCCUGGAAAGAUUCUUCAGGAUCAGCCACAGAUGGUAGUUUACACAUAAAAGCAAUUGAUUCUGAAUUUAUAAUAACUGUAUAUACUAUAAAGUUAUUGUUUAAUGUUUGCAUUUGGAUUACCCAUAUAAAAACAAUUGCAAAAAGAAAGAAUAGAUUUAUAAGAAGUAGAUGUUGUAACUGAAUUAAAAUCCAUCAGAUGUAAUUGUACCAAUGGAUUAAAUAAAAUAUUUUCUCAAGCGCAGGAAAUUUCUAAAAAAAUUGAAUAUUGGAAUUGACUGUAAAAAUAUUAUGUAAAAGAUAAACAAUCUGUCAACAGAUAAAAAUUUAACAUUAAAUGCUGAAAAUUAUUAUUAGAUAGGUAAUUGUAUUUUUAGGUACCGUAUUUGGAACAUUUUAUAAAUGAACUUCAACAAUGAUUUUUAUCUCAUUCAGAAAUUUAUUGAGGUAAUAAAUAAAUGUAAUACACAAUUGGAAAUUUUUUAUGUUAUGGAGACAGAAAUCAAUUAAAAUUAAUUUGCCUAAAACUGGACUACAAACUCUCAUCUAAUGUGAUUCUACGAAUAUUUUGUACGUUAUCCGUCUCCACUACUACGCCUGAACAUAUAUUUAAAAAAUUAAAAAGAUUGAAAACAUAGGUACCUAAAAAAUACUAUGCUGAGUUUUUAUUUAUAGGACCAUUGGAGUGGAUUAAUAAAGAAAAAAUUAAUCAUCAGGCUAAAAAGCCAAGAAAAUUAGUAUUGGUUUCAUAAAAAAUAAUGUUGGGCAAUCAAGAGUAAGACAAGUGUGAAUAUGUUUAAAAUUUCAUUAAAGACAAAUUUACAAAACACUAACACCAAUUGUCCAAGCUAAAUAUCCAACAAAGAUUUGAAAGUAAGCACAGAUCCAUAAUAGAAUACUUAGAUAAAGACUAUGGUGUUUAUAUAUUGGAUGCUAAGGUCAGUGGGAACAUAGGUCGUUAUUUCAAUCAUGCCUGUGAUCCAAACAUUUUUAUUCAGAAUGUUUUUGUAGACACUCACGAUCUUAGAUUUCCGUGGAUAGCAUACUUUGCAUUAUCAAAUAUUUCAGUUGGAACUGAACUAGCAUGGAAUUUUAAUUAUAUUGUAGAGAGUAUGCCAAACAAAAAAAAAUGAAGUGCUACAGUAAAUCAAAAAAUUUCAAAAUCAGAUUAUUAUAAUAAUUAAUUUUUAUUUAUGACAAAUAUCUUUUUAAUUAUUUAAUGUUUUUUUAUUUAUAAGAAAACAAAAGGUGUUACUUUUAAAUGAUUUAUAUGAAAACUAUUAAAUUAAAAUGUAGAUAAA